rnacentral:rRNA from 1 species
UACGGGGGGGGCAAGCGUUGUUCGGAAUUACUGGGCGUAAAGGGCUUGUAGGUGGCCAACUAAGUCAGACGUGAAAUCCCUCGGCUUAACCGGGGAACUGCGUCUGAUACUGGAUGGCUUGAGUGUGGGAGAGGGAUGCGGAAUUCCAGGUGUAGCGGUGAAAUGCGUAGAUAUCUGGAGGAACACCGGUGGCGAAGGCGGCAUUCUGGACCGAUAUUGACGCUGAGGAGCGAAAGCCAGGGGAGCAAACGGG